GUGAACGCUGGCGGUAGGCCUAACACAUGCCAGUCGAACGGCAGCACAGUAAGAGCUUGCUCUUACGGGUGGCGAGUGGCGGACGGGUGAGGAAUACAUCGGAAUCUACUUUUUCGUGGGGGAUAACGUAGGGAAACUUACGCUAAUACCGCAUACGACCUACGGGUGAAAGCAGGGGAUCUUCGGACCUUGCGCGAUUGAAUGAGCCGAUGUCGGAUUAGCUAGUUGGCGGGGUAAAGGCCCACCAAGGCGAUGAUCCGUAGCUGGUCUGAGAGGAUGAUCAGCCACACUGGAACUGAGACACGGUCCAGACUCCUACGGGAGGCAGCAGUGGGGAAUAUUGGACAAUGGGCGCAAGCCUGAUCCAGCCAUACCGCGUGGGUGAAGAAGGCCUUCGGGUUGUAAAGCCCUUUUGUUGGGAAAGAAAAGCAGCAGGUUAAUACCCCGCUGUUCUGACGGUACCCAAAGAAUAAGCACCGGCUAACUUCGUG
rnacentral:rRNA from 1 species